rfam:Minicystis rosea strain DSM 24000, complete genome.
ACGACACGUGCUGGUGCUUCUGGCCGUGGCCGGGGGCUGAAAAGGGAACCCGGCGAACAUCCGGGGCUGCCCCGCAGCGGUAAGCGAGAACGAGCCCCACAUGGCGCACUGGUCCUCGUCGGGCUGGGAAGCGGUGGGGCCAGGAAGCCGGCCGAGCCGGAGCGCUCGUCGCGAUGCUGCAACCCU